UACGUAGGGCGCAAGCGUUGUCCGGAAUUACUGGGCGUAAAGCGCACGUAGGCGGAUAUUUAAGUCAGGGGUGAAAUCCCGGGGCUCAACCCCGGAACUGCCUUUGAUACUGGGUAUCUCGAGUCCGAGAGAGGUGAGUGGAAUUCCGAGUGUAGAGGUGAAAUUCGUAGAUAUUCGGAGGAACACCAGUGGCGAAGGCGGCUCACUGGCUCGGUACUGACGCUGAGGUGCGAAAGCGUGGGGAGCAAACAGG
rnacentral:rRNA from 1 species